AUUGAACGCUGGCGGCAUGCUUUACACAUGCAAGUCGAACGGCAGCGCGGGCUUCGGCCUGGCGGCGAGUGGCGAACGGGUGAGUAAUACAUCGGAACGUGCCCAGUAGUGGGGGAUAGCUCGGCGAAAGCCGGAUUAAUACCGCAUACGACCUGAGGGUGAAAGCGGGGGAUCUUCGGACCUCGCGCUAUUGGAGCGGCCGAUGGCAGAUUAGCUAGUUGGUGGGGUAAAGGCCUACCAAGGCGACGAUCUGUAGCUGGUCUGAGAGGACGACCAGCCACACUGGGACUGAGACACGGCCCAGACUCCUACGGGAGGCAGCAGUGGGGAAUUUUGGACAAUGGGCGAAAGCCUUAUCCAGCAAUGCCGCGUGUGUGAUGAAGGCCUUCGGGUUGUAAAGCACUUUUGGCGGGAACGAAAAGGACUGUGCCAAUACCACGGUUCGAUGACGGUACCCGCAGAAUAAGCACCGGCUAACUACGUG
rnacentral:rRNA from 1 species